rnacentral:misc_RNA from 1 species
GUAGGUGAACCUGCGGAAGGAUCAUUAUAAAACAACCCACGGGGGUGGGCUUUCCGAAAGGACAGUCACGGGCGCCUCACGCGGCGUACCCUGGUUGGCGGCGGCGGUGCCUGUCCUGUUGUGGAGGGAGUACCCCUCUACAACACGCGCUUGCGCCGUGCGCCGAUCGAGCCCUCCACCUGAAUACUACCCUUGCUUUUUGCGCACUCAUCGUUUCCUCGGCAGGCUUGCCUGCCAGUAGGACCCUUUUCAACCCUUUGCAGUUGCAGUCAGCGUCAGAAAACAACGUAAUCGUUACAACUUUCAACAACGGAUCUCUUGGUUCUG